rnacentral:rRNA from 1 species
CAUCUUUAAUAGGAUGUUACGAUUGUGUGAAUACAUAGCACAUUCGAGGUAGACGCAGAGAACUGAAACAUCUAAGUACCUGCAGGAAGAGAAAGAAAAUUCGAUUCCCUGAGUAGCGGCGAGCGAAACGGGAAAAGCCCAAACCAGCAAGCUUGCUUGUUGGGGUUGUAGGACUCCAAUAUGGUAGUUCUUUCAGAUAGUCGAAUGACUUGGAAAAGUCAGUCAAAGAGGGUAAAAACCCCGUAGACGAAAUGUGGAAGACACCUAGGAGGAUCCUGAGUACGGCGGAACACGAGAAAUUCCGUCGGAAUCCGGGAGGACCAUCUCCCAAGGCUAAAUACUCCCUAGUGACCGAUAGUGAACCAGUACCGUGAGGGAAAGGUGAAAAGCACCCCGGAAGGGGAGUGAAAUAGAACCUGAAACCGUGUGCCUACAACAAGUCAAAGCCCGUUAAUGGGUGAUGGCGUGCCUUUUGUAGAAUGAACCGGCGAGUUACGAUUGCAUGCGAGGUUAAGUUGAAGAGACGGAGCCGCAGCGAAAGCGAGUCUGAAUAGGGCGUUUGAGUAUGUAGUCGUAGACCCGAAACCAUGUGAUCUACCCAUGUCCAGGUUGAAGGUGCGGUAAAACGCACUGGAGGACCGAACCCACGUACGUUGAAAAGUGCGGGGAUGAGGUGUGGGUAGCGGAGAAAUUCCAAACGAACUUGGAGAUAGCUGGUUCUCUCCGAAAUAGCUUUAGGGCUAGCCUCGGAAUUGAGAAUGAUGGAGGUAGAGCACUGUUUGGACUAGGGGCCCAUCUCGGGUUACCGAAUUCAGAUAAACUCCGAAUGCCAUUCAUUCAUAUCCGGGAGUCAGACUGUGAGUGAUAAGAUCCAUAGUCGAAAGGGAAACAGCCCAGACCACCAGCUAAGGUCCCAAAAUAUAUGUUAAGUGGAAAAGGAUGUGGGGUUGCACAGACAACUAGGAUGUUGGCUUAGAAGCAGCCACCAUUUAAAGAGUGCGUAAUAGCUCACUAGUCGAGUGACCCUGCGCCGAAAAUGUACCGGGGCUAAACAUAUUACCGAAGCUGUGGAGUACACCUUUAGGUGUAUUGGUAGGAGAGCGUUCUAAGGGCGUUGAAGGCAGAUCGUGAGGACUGCUGGAGCGCUUAGAAGUGAGAAUGCCGGUAUGAGUAGCGAAAGACAGGUGAGAAUCCUGUCCACCGAAUGACUAAGGUUUCCUGGGGAAGGCUCGUCCGCCCAGGGUUAGUCGGGACCUAAGCCGAGGCCGACAGGCGUAGGCGAUGGAUAACAGGUUGAUAUUCCUGUACCCGUUGUUUUUGUUUGAGCAAUGGAGGGACGCAGGAGGCUAAGGAAUGCAGACGAU